GAGGAAUAUUGGUCAAUGGGCGCGAGCCUGAACCAGCCAAGUAGCGUGAAGGAUGACUGCCCUAUGGGUUGUAAACUUCUUUUUAAAGGAAUUAAAGUAGGCCCGGUGUGCUUAUUUGAUGUAACUUAGGAAUAAGGAACGGGUAACUUCGGUGCCAGCAGCCGCGGUAAUACGGAGGAUGCAAGCGUUAUCCGGAUUUAUUGGGUUUAAAGGGAGCGUAGGCGGACUAUUAAGUCAGCUGUGAAAGUUUACGGCUCAACCGUGAAAUUGCAGUUGAAACUGGUCGUCUUGAGUGCAGUAAAGGUGGGCGGAAUUCGUGGUGUAGCGGUGAAAUGCUUAGAUAUCACGAAGAACUCCAAUUGCGAAGGCAGCUCACUGGAGUGUAACUGACGCUGAUGCUCGAAAGUGUGGGUAUCAAACA
rnacentral:rRNA from 1 species